CCAACAACAACAACAGAUGAUGUUCCACCACCAUGCAUCUACCAUGAACUUGUUGGGCCCAAAGCCCGUUCAAAUGAAGCAAUCUGGCUCACCACCAAAGCCCACUAAGCUCUACAGAGGCGUUAGACAACGCCACUGGGGAAAGUGGGUAGCUGAGAUCCGAUUGCCCAAGAACCGGACCCGGCUUUGGCUUGGCACCUUUGACACUGCUGAAGAAGCUGCCUUGGCCUACGACAAGGCGGCGUAUAUGCUACGUGGCGACUUUGCUAGACUCAACUUUCCCCAUCUCCGCCACAACGGCUCACUUAUCGGCGGCGAAUUCGG
rnacentral:lncRNA from 1 species